rnacentral:rRNA from 1 species
UAUGCCUCGGGACGCAGCAGUAGGGAAUCUUCCACAAUGGGCGAAAGCCUGAUGGAGCAACGCCGCGUGGGUGAAGAAGGUCUUCGGAUCGUAAAACCCUGUUGUUAGAGAAGAAAGUGCGUGAGAGUAACUGUUCACGUUUCGACGGUAUCUAACCGGAAAACCACGGCUAACUACGUGCCAGCAGCCGCGGUAAUACGUAGGUGGCAAGCGUUAUCCGGAUUUCUUGGGCGUAAAGGGAACGCAGGCGG